rnacentral:rRNA from 1 species
UACGUAGGGGGCGAGCGUUGUCCGGAUUUAUUGGGCGUAAAGAGCUCGUAGGCGGCUUGGCAAGUCGGGUGUGAAACCUCCAGGCUCAACCUGGAGACGCCACUCGAUACUGCCAUGGCUAGAGUCCGGUAGGGGACCACGGAAUUCCAGGUGUAGCGGUGAAAUGCGUAGAUAUCUGGAGGAAUACCGGUGGCGAAGGCGGCGUUCUGGACCAUUACUGACACUGAAUCGCGAAAGCUAGGGGAGCAAACGGG